AGGGCCAAUGAUGAGAGCUUAUCAUGAACCAAAGAUUAAUUAUCAACCCAUUUCUGCAUAUCUGAAGUCCAGU
rnacentral:snoRNA from 1 species